rnacentral:rRNA from 1 species
GGUGCCAGCAGCCGCGGUAAUUCCAGCUCCAAUAGCGUAUAUUAAACUUGUUGCAGUUAAAAAGCUCGUAGUUGUAUUUUUGCGUUGACGGUUUGACCAUUUGGUUGGUUAUUUCGUUUUCGCUUUUGGGAAUUUCCCUUUUUACUUUGAGAAAAUUAGAGUGUUUCAAGCAGACUUUUGUCUUGAAUACUUCAGCAUGGAAUAAUAGAGUAGGACUUUGGUUCUAUUUUGUUGGUUAUUGAACCUUAGUAAUGGUUAAUAGGAACGGUUGGGGGCAUUCGUAUUUAACUGUCAGAGGUGAAAUUCUUAGAUUUGUUAAAGACGAACUACUGCGAAAGCAUUUGCCAAGGACGUUUCCAUUAAUCAAGAACGAAAGUUAGGGGAUCGAAGACGAUCAGAUACCGUCGUAGUCCUAACCAUAAACUAA